rnacentral:rRNA from 2 species
UACAGAGGGUGCAAGCGUUAAUCGGAAUUACUGGGCGUAAAGCGCGCGUAGGUGGUUUGUUAAGUUGGAUGUGAAAUCCCCGGGCUCAACCUGGGAACUGCAUUCAAAACUGACUGACUAGAGUAUGGUAGAGGGUGGUGGAAUUUCCUGUGUAGCGGUGAAAUGCGUAGAUAUAGGAAGGAACACCAGUGGCGAAGGCGACCACCUGGACUAAUACUGACACUGAGGUGCGAAAGCGUGGGGAGCAAAC